CCCGACACGGCUCGCCAACGCUGCGCCCGACACGGCUCGCCAACGAACCCCGGCGCGAGAAGCGCCAAGGAAAUUGAGUACUAGGAGCACGCCCUCGUAGCCUCGGUGUCGGGGGCGCGCCUUCUUUUUGUGAUAAUCUGAACGACUCUCGGCAACGGAUAUCUCGGCUCUCGCAUCGAUGAAGAACGUAGCGAAAUGCGAUACUUGGUGUGAAUUGCAGAAUCCCGUGAACCAUCGAGUCUUUGAACGCAAGUUGCGCCCGAGGCCUCCUGGUCGAGGGCACGCCUGCCUGGGUGUCACGUAUCGUCGCCCCCACUCCCCUCGGCUCACGAGGGCGGGGGCGGAUACUGGUCUCCCGCGCGCUCCCGCCCGUGGUUGGCCUAAAAUCGAGUCCUCGGCGACGGUCGCCACGACAAGCGGUGGUUGAGAGACCCUCGGACACGGUCGUGCGCGUGCUUGUCGCCCCCGGGACCUCCCGGACCCCCGAGCAUUGGCUUUCAAGGAUGCUCUCGUUGCGACCCCAGGUCAGGCGGGACUACCCGCUGAG
rnacentral:rRNA from 1 species